UUCCGGUUGAUCCCGCCGGACGUGAUUGCUAUCGGAUUGGUACUAAGCAUGCGAGUAAGUGUAGCAAUACACUGCAGACGGCUCAGUAACACGUGGUCAAGCUAACCUAUGGACGUGGAUAACCUCGGGAAACUGAGAAUAAACCGCGAUAGAUCAUGAUGCCUGGAAUGGCUCAUGGUCGAAAUAGUUUACUGCCGUAGGAUGCGACUGCGGCCUAUCAGUUUGUUGGUGAGGUAAUGGCCCACCAAGACUAUUACAGGUACGGGCUCUGAGAGGAGAAGCCCGGAGAUGGGUACUGAGACACGGACCCAGGCCCUAUGGGGCGCAGCAGGCGAGAAACCUUAGCAAUGUGCGAAAGCACGACUGGGUUAGUCCGAGUGAUUCCUGCUAAAGGAAUCUUUUGCCGGUCCUAAAAGCACCGGUGAAUAAGGGGUGGGCAAGUCUGGUGUCAGCCGCCGCGGUAAUACCAGCACCUCGAGUGAUCAGGACGUUUAUUGGGCCUAAAGCAUCCGUAGCUGGCUUUGCAAGUCUCCGGUUAAAUCAACCUGCUCAACAGAUUGGCCGCUGGAGAUAUUACAAGGCUAGGGAGUGGGAGAGGCAGACGGUAUUCGGGGGGUAGGGGUAAAAUCCCCUGAUCCUCUGAGGACCACCAGUGGCGAAGGCGGUCUGCCAGAACACGUUCGACAGUGAGGGAUGAAAGCUGGGGGAGCAAACCGGAUUAGAUACCCGGGUAGUCCCAGCUGUAAACGAUGCAAACUCGGUGAAGCAUUGGCUUAAUGCUAAUGCUGUGCCGCAGGGAAGCCGUUAAGUUUGCCGCCUGGGAAGUACGGUCGCAAGAUUGAAACUUAAAGGAAUUGGCGGGGGAGCACCACAAGGGGUGAAGCCUGCGGUUCAAUUGGAUUCAACGCCGGG
rnacentral:rRNA from 1 species